UACGUAGGGUGCAAGCGUUAAUCGGAAUUACUGGGCGUAAAGCGUGCGCAGGCGGUUGUGUAAGACAGAUGUGAAAUCCCCGGGCUCAACCUGGGAACUGCAUUUGUGACUGCACGGCUGGAGUGCGGCAGAGGGGGAUGGAAUUCCGCGUGUAGCAGUGAAAUGCGUAGAUAUGCGGAGGAACACCGAUGGCGAAGGCAAUCCCCUGGGCAUGCACUGACGCUCAUGCACGAAAGCGUGGGGAGCAAACAGG
rnacentral:rRNA from 1 species